rnacentral:snoRNA from 1 species
AGGCCGUGAUGGGGACACUUGCGUAAUAGCUCCUUGAAUCUUUCCCAAGUUUCAUAUAAGGAUUCCCCAUCCUCUUGUGAGUAUGUAUUAAUUUCAGCCAUUAAUUU